rnacentral:rRNA from 1 species
UACGAAGGGGGCGAGCGUUGUUCGGAUUUACUGGGCGUAAAGGGCGCGCAGGCGGCGCAUUUUGUCAGGCGUGAAAGCCCCGGGCUUAACCUGGGAACUGCGUUUGAUACGGAUGGGCUAGAGUUCGGGAGAGGAGAGUGGAAUUCCCGGUGUAGCGGUGAAAUGCGUAGAGAUCGGGAGGAACAUCAGAGGCGAAGGCGACUACCUGGAAAGAUACUGACACUGAGGCACGAAGGCCAGGGGAGCAAACGGG